UCGAAACCCUUAAUCGAAAUGAGGUGACCCGCUCACGUGUCAACCAAUUGAAGGGGACGUAGCCCGUCGCACGAGAGACGAAGAUACAAGGCGGCCUGGCGGCCUAACACCCCCUCGAAUGUCAUCCUGGCAUGGUCGCAAGGCGGCACCUUCACUCAGUGUGGGAUGCAUGUCGAGCUUCAAAGAUAGGAGUGGUAGCUCAACCAAACCCCCGGCGCAAGUCGCGCCAAAGAAAAUGGAUAUACAACCACCGUGCUCCCUGCCGGCUCAACGAUGGGGGCCGGCAUUGUGUCAUUUAAUGCAUAACAGAGAUGACUCUCGGCGACGGAUAUCUCGGCUCUUGCAUCGAUGAAGAACCUAGCGAAAUGCGAUACUUGGUGUGAAUUGCAGAAUCCCAUGAACCAUGGGGUCUUUGAACGCAAGUUGCGCCCGAGGCCACCACGGCCGAGGGCACGUCUGUCUGGGCGUCGCGUGCAGCGUCACCUAACACCUCCUCGCCCCCCGCGCGGAGGUGUCGGUGGAGUAUGGCCUCCCGUGUCGUAGGUCUCGACGCGGUUGGCCCAAAUGGGAAGCUCGGGGCAACGGAUGCCGUGACAAUGGGUGGUCCGCGAGGCCGAAAGGCACGGUCACGACGUCUUGUCAUUGCAUGGUUUCCCGCUGCUUGUUUAGAUCCCCUUCCGCCACCGUGGCGGGAUACAA
rnacentral:sRNA from 1 species